rnacentral:rRNA from 1 species
AUACGGAGGGUCCAAGCGUUAUCCGGAUUCAUUGGGUUUAAAGGGUCCGCAGGCGGGAAAAUAAGUCAGUGGUGAAAGCCUACAGCUCAACUGUAGAACUGCCAUUGAAACUGUUUUCCUUGAGUAUAGAUGAAGUGGGCGGAAUAUAUCAUGUAGCGGUGAAAUGCAUAGAUAUGAUAUAGAACACCGAUUGCGAAGGCAGCUCACUAAACUAUUACUGACGCUCAGGGACGAAAGCGUGGGGAGCGAACAGGAUUAGAAACCCUAGUAGUCC